rnacentral:misc_RNA from 1 species
AAAAAUAAAAUAAAAUAAAAAUAUAUUUGUUUUCAACUGCAUUUCACUGGACUUAUAAUCUCUAUAUUAAACGUCCACAGCAGCAUCACAUAUUCCAUUUGCACAUAGCCAUAUAUAUUUUGAAAUUUACAUCAGCAAACCAGGCUAAUUCAGGUUAGUGGAGAAAUAUCCACAGUGGAAAUGCAUAUUAGGUAGCUACCGGCUACAAGUCAGUAUUUCUUCCGCCUAUUCUUUCACUGUUUCUUUUGUCCAAAGUUUUACUUAAAACAAGCAGACAAACUAGAUAAUUAACCAGUCCUUAAAGAUUAUCCAAUCCGCAGAACAAACAUCAUAAAAAUUUUAAUUACAAAAAAAAAAUUAUGGAAUGUCCUCCACGCUUCAUUGAGAUAGCCUUCCAAAGAAUAAACAAACUGAAACGCAGACAACUAGACAAGUAGUGUUAAACAGCCAAUCAGAGAAAUGCUUUUAAAAUGAUAAUAAAAAUAAUAAACAAUUAGGGAUUCUAAUUCCAUACAUAACAUGACUGAUUCACAAACAUUGUUGUAAAUCACCAUAAAUCUGAACUCAACCACUAGACAAUGAAAUCUCACUUAAAACCAAUAUCAACAUAAUCACGAUCAUUUAAUAAAAACUGGGUGUGAACUGUGAAGUCUUCCAAACAAAGGAAAAUGCCAAAAUGAAAAUGACAAAAACAAGAGUUUGAGAAGAACAAGAAGAAGAAGAAG